rnacentral:rRNA from 1 species
GAUGAACGCUGGCGGCGUGCUUAACACAUGCAAGUCGAACGGAAAGGCCCAAGCUUGCUUGGGUGCUCGAGUGGCGAACGGGUGAGUAACACGUGGGUGAUCUGCCCUGCACUUUGGGAUAAGCCUGGGAAACUGGGUCUAAUACCGGAUAGGACCAUCGUUUAGUGUCGGUGGUGGAAAGUUUUUCGGUGUGGGAUGAGCUCGCGGCCUAUCAGCUUGUUGGUGGGGUAAUGGCCUACCAAGGCGUCGACGGGUAGCCGGCCUGAGAGGGUGUACGGCCACAUUGGGACUGAGAUACGGCCCAGACUCCUACGGGAGGCAGCAGUGGGGAAUAUUGCACAAUGGGCGCCAGCCUGAUGCAGCGACGCCGCGUGGGGGAUGACGGCCUUCGGGUUGUAAACUCCUUUCGCCAAGGACGAAGCGUUUUGUGACGGUACUUGGAGAAGAAGCACCGGCUAACUACGUG